UUCAAGUCACAGACGAAGAAGAAAAUGACGGAAGUGCUUGUUUCCACAACAAAAAAGGCAUAUUGGACGAAAGAGAGUAAAAUUGGAACACAUUAUGGCGCGCACGACUGUGUUUGUAUGACUGUUGUGCCAAAGGAUACACGAACAGAAUCACGAAAAGGGACGCGUUGAUGUCAAUGGCGUCGGCGCUUGAUACAUCAGAUUCACAGUGAAGAAAAGGAUAACGUCCAUCAAAUUCCAAAUGAGACGGAAUCCGUGAAGGCGGUGAUGGAAUCGAUAAAGGCGGAGACGGAAUCGAUGAUUGCAUACUUGGACAUGUCAGCAGGGAUUGUUACAGAGGAAGCAGAAAUCAAAUCGACAUUGGGGGUUACGCGACUCAGAAAAAAGAGAAUCUCAAGAAGAAAUGGUGCUGGAUUUUGUCAAAUCACUUAAGAAGACUCUGGCAAUGGACAAAAAAGAUGAUGAACUUGAAAUCUUUGGUAAAAACAUUGCAUUCAAACUGAGGACGAUUCAAAAUCCAUGGACAUUUGUCAUAGUGCAGAAUGAAAUUGAGCAGGCAUGUUUUCGUGGCAUUUUGGCAAGACAGCCAAAUCAGUCACAGCGAACAACAAUAAUCAAAUGAAGCAUUUUCACACUAAAACAUUACAUCUGUAAUGUUUUUUUUUUUUUUUUGUGGAUUCCCUGAAAUUUCAUGUCUUCUAAUGUUUUAUCUUGAAAUGUUUUUAAAUGCACACAAUCUAACUGUUCAAUGUUUCUGUACUGUUUCUUGAACAAGGAGCAUGCCUAUGAACAUUAUCAUUCUUCUAAGCCAUUAAAUUCUCAGGACAUUGAAUCGGUUGCUUCUGUUCUGGUUGUCUUCAGAGACGUUUUACCUCUCAUCUGACCAGCAGGCUUUAUUAGUUUAUGCAACAAUGUUUAGCUCGGACUGGAGCAGCAUGAGUUGGAGGGCGGGGGGACUCCACUAUUUAUGCUCCAAAUUGCUCCAACAAGAAGCUUAAAGGAAAAAUUCCCAACAGGUGCUUGUUGUGCCAAGGUAGGAACAACUCAAUGAUUUCACUUUACACGGUCCUAGCAAUUAUUAUUUUUUUUUGCAUUUCAAAACACAAGCCUCAGAAAAGAAUGUGUUGAAAAUGGGUUGCAGUACCACUGCUUUAAGUAGUUCAGUUCCAGAACUCUACAUUAGAAAAUUUUCAUAUGCUCGUAGAAAACACCACGAGAAAAGGAAGAAGGGCAGGGUUUUAAGAGUUCACCCCCCCCAAC